rnacentral:rRNA from 1 species
GACGAACGCUGGCGGCGUGCUUAACACAUGCAAGUCGAACGGAAAGGCCCUGCUUUUGUGGGGUGCUCGAGUGGCGAACGGGUGAGUAACACGUGAGUAACCUGCCCUUGACUUUGGGAUAACUUCAGGAAACUGGGGCUAAUACCGGAUAGGAGCUCCUGCUGCAUGGUGGGGGUUGGAAAGUUUCGGCGGUUGGGGAUGGACUCGCGGCUUAUCAGCUUGUUGGUGGGGUAGUGGCUUACCAAGGCUUUGACGGGUAGCCGGCCUGAGAGGGUGACCGGCCACAUUGGGACUAAGAUACGGACCAGACUCCUACGGGAGGCAGCAGUGGGGAAUAUUACACAGUGGGCGGAAGCCUGAUGCAGCGACGCCGCGUGCGGGAUGACGGCCUUCGGGUUGUAAACCGCUUUCGCCUGUGACGAAGCGUGAGUGACGGUAAUGGGUAAAGAAGCACCGGCUAACUACGUG